rnacentral:rRNA from 1 species
UGAGGAAUUUUGCGCAAUGGGGGCAACCCUGACGCAGCAACGCCGCGUGAGUGAAGAAGGCCUUUGGGUCGUAAAGCUCUGUCAACAAGGAAGAAAUUACAAUUAUUUAAUAGAUAAUUGUAUUGACGGUACUUGUGGAGGAAGCGCCGGCUAACUCCGUGCCAGCAGCCGCGGUAACACGGGGGGCGCAAGCGUUAUUCGGAAUUAUUGGGCGUAAAGGGCGCGCAGGCGGUCUUGUCCGUCAGGUGUGAAAGCUCGGGGCUCAACCCCGGAAGUGCACUUGAAACAGCAAGACUUGAAUACGGGAGAGGAGAGAGGAAUUCCUGGUGUAGAGGUGAAAUUCGUAGAUAUCAGGAGGAACACCGAUGGCGAAGGCAUCUCUCUGGACCGAUAUUGACGCUGAGGCGCGAAGGCGUGGGUAGCGAACGGGAUUAGAUACCCCGGUAGUCCACGCAGUAAACGUUGUACACUCGGUGUGGCGGAUAUUAAAAUCUGCUGUGCCCAAGCUAACGCAUUAAGUGUACCGCCUGGGAAGUACGGUCGCAAGACUA